AAGGAAGCUGGGCAACUGGCGCUAAAUGAGAAGCCUGCGUCGCAUCAGCUAGUUGGUGGGUAAUGGCCUACCAAGGCGAAGACGCGUAGCUGGUCUGAGAGGAUGAUCAGCCACACUGGAACUGAGACACGGUCCAGACUCCUACGGGAGGCAGCAGUGGGGAAUAUUGGACAAUGGCGCAAGCCUGAUCCAGCCACGCCGCGUGAGUGAUGAAGGCCUUCGGGUCGUAAAGCUCUGUGGGGAGAGACGAACCGCUGGGGUAACCCUUCAGCAUGACGGUAUCUCCUUAGCAAGCACCGGCUAACUUCGUG
rnacentral:rRNA from 1 species